UACAGAGGGUGCGAGCGUUGUCCGGAAUCACUGGGCGUAAAGGGCGCGUAGGUGGCGACCCAAGUCUGUGGUGAAAGCUCGACGCUCAACGUCGAGUCGGCCAUAGAUACUGGGUUGCUUGAGCACUGUAGAGGCAGAUGGAAUUCCGGGUGUAGCGGUGGAAUGCGUAGAGAUCCGGAAGAACACCGGUGGCGAAGGCGGUCUGCUGGGCAGUUGCUGACACUGAGGCGCGAAAGCGUGGGGAGCAAACAGGG
rnacentral:rRNA from 1 species